rnacentral:lncRNA from 1 species
UUACAUGUUCAAAAUUGUUUUGAUAGUUGUAAUCGCAUAGUUUUUUAUUGUAGUUGUUUUAAUUGUUUGUGUUAUUUUUUAUGAACAACUGUCUUUUCGUCACAGACGUCUACUAUGAAGUAAAAUUAAUUUUCCAUAUAUUGCAACAGAGGUACUUUGAAAUAAAUUUAAGUUUCCAUAUAUAGCAACAGAGGUACAUCUGAAUUUAUCUGGUUGUGCUCGUUCC